AUUGAACGCUGGCGGCAGGCCUAACACAUGCAAGUCGAACGAGUGGCGGACGGGUGAGUAAUGUCUGGGAAACUGCCUGAUGGAGGGGGAUAACUACUGGAAACGGUAGCUAAUACCGCAUACCAUCAGAUGUGCCCAGAUGGAAUUAGCUUGUAGGUGGGGUAGCGGCUCACCAAGGAGACGAGCCAUAGCUGGUCUUAGAGGAGGACCAGCAAAACUGGAACGGAGACACGGGCCAGAAUCCUACGUGAGGCAGCAGUGGGGAAUAUUGGACAAUGGGCGCAAGCCUGAUGCAGCAAUGCCGCGUGUAUGAAGAAGGCCGUCGGGUUGUAAAGUACUUUCAGCGGGGAGGCGUUACUCGCAGAAGAAGCACCGGCUAACUCCGUGCCAGCAGCCGCGGUAAUUC
rnacentral:rRNA from 1 species